rnacentral:rRNA from 1 species
UUUACUGACGCUAAAGCUCGAAGGUGCGGGUAUCGAACAGGAUUAGAUACCCUGGUAGUCCGCACGGUAAACGAUGGAUGCCCGCUGUUCGCGAUACAAUGUGAGCGGCCAAGAGAAAUCGUUAAGCAUCCCACCUGGGGAGUACGCCGGCAACGGUGAAACUCAAAGGAAUUGACGGGGGCCCGCACAAGCGGAGGAACAUGUGGUUUAAUUCGAUGAUACGCGAGGAACCUUACCCGGGCUUGAACUGCAGAGGAAUGCGGUGGAGACACCAAAGCCCUUCGGGGCCUCUGUGGAGGUGCUGCAUGGUUGUCGUCAGCUCGUGCCGUGAGGUGUCGGCUUAAGUGCCAUAACGAGCGCAACCCCUUUCGUCAGUUGCCAUCAGGUUAUGCUGGGCACUCUGGCGACACUGCCACCGUAAGGUGUGAGGAAGGUGGGGAUGACGUCAAAUCAGCACGGCCCUUACGUCCGGGGCUACACACGUGUUACAAUGGGGAGUACAGAGAGUCAGGCGCCGGCAACGUCGCCUCAAUCAGGAAAGCUCUCCUCAGUUCGGAUUGGGGUCUGCAACCCGACCCCAUGAAGCUGGAUUCGCUAGUA